CAAGGCUUAAUCACCACAACUUGAGGAGGUGGGAGAGCAGAGGAGGAAUGGGCAAGGCAGAAACAAUUCUGGAUCAGGAGUCUCAUGGCAAACGAGGAAAACACGAUUCUGUGUUUUUGAACGGGAUGCUUCCAGAAAAAAAACUGCGAGGAUGGAGAAAGCAGAGGUCCUCCCGACGUUGACUCUGGACAUUGGGGAGUGGAUCCUGUGACUUGCUUUGCCAAAUGGACAUCAGCAAAUGUGAUGCUAGGAGAGGCUUGAAAAGUGCUUGUGCUUUGGGACUUGCCUCUCAGAACAGCCGCCUUCCGGGCUCACCUGCUACAUAUCUAGCACCAGCUGCUGGUCAGCAGAGUGAAGCCGUCUCAGACCACCUGGCCCAGCCAAGCCUUCCAGGACUGCAGCCUCAUGAGUGACUACAGGACCCAAGGUCAGCUUUCUAAAAAUCAACUUGCCUCAUGAUCAGUUUGCCAAAUGACCAAUCACUGAAUUGAUAAAGCUUACUCAUUUACCUCCAAGUUAUCUCUUUUGACUUUCAAGGCAGAGUGGACAGUGAAAGAGACAGAGAGAAAGGUCUUCAUUUUGCCGUUGGUUCACCCUCCAAUGGCCGGCGCACGAAGGUGAUCCAAAGGCAGGAGCCAGG